rnacentral:rRNA from 1 species
AUUGAACGCUGGCGGCAUGCCUUACACAUGCAAGUCGAACGGUAACAGGUCUUCGGAUGCUGACGAGUGGCGAACGGGUGAGUAAUACAUCGGAACGUGCCUAGUAGUGGGGGAUAACCACUCGAAAGAGUGGCUAAUACCGCAUGAGAUCUACGGAUGAAAGCAGGGGAUCGCAAGACCUUGUGCUACUAGAGCGGCAGAUGGCAGAUUAGGUAGUUGGUGGGAUAAAAGCUUACCAAGCCGACGAUCUGUAGCUGGUCUGAGAGGACGAUCAGCCACACUGGGACUGAGACACGGCCCAGACUCCUACGGGAGGCAGCAGUGGGGAAUUUUGGACAAUGGGCGAAAGCCUGAUCCAGCAAUGCCGCGUGCAGGAUGAAGGCCUUCGGGUUGUAAACUGCUUUUGUACGGAACGAAAAGCCCCGGGUUAAUACCCUGGGGUCAUGACGGUACCGUAAGAAUAAGCACCGGCUAACUACGUGCCAGCCGCCGCGGUAA